UAAGAGGUGUUAUUAGUC
rnacentral:siRNA from 1 species